rnacentral:tRNA from 1 species
GCGUCGGUGGUAUAACGAGUUCAUAGCUGCCUUCCAAGCAGUUGACCCGGGUUCGACUCCCGGCCGACGCA